ACGAACGCUGGCGGCAUGCCUAACACAUGCAAGUCGAACGAGACCUUCGGGUCUAGUGGCGCACGGGUGCGUAACGCGUGGGAACCUGCCCUUAGGUUCGGAAUAACUCCCCGAAAGGGGUGUUAAUACCGGAUAAUGUCUUCGGACCAAAGAUUUAUCGCCUUUGGAUGGGCCCGCGUUGGAUUAGCUAGUUGGUAGGGUAAAAGCCUACCAAGGCGACGAUCCAUAGCUGGUCUGAGAGGAUGAUCAGCCACACUGGGACUGAGACACGGCCCAGACUCCUACGGGAGGCAGCAGUGGGGAAUAUUGGACAAUGGGCGAAAGCCUGAUCCAGCAAUGCCGCGUGAGUGAUGAAGGCCUUAGGGUUGUAAAGCUCUUUUACCCGGGAUGAUAAUGACAGUACCGGGAGAAUAAGCUCCGGCUAACUCCGUG
rnacentral:rRNA from 1 species